rnacentral:rRNA from 1 species
UACGUAGGGGGCAAGCGUUGUCCGGAUUUAUUGGGCGUAAAGAGCGUGUAGGCGGCCUGGAAGGUCCGUUGUGAAAACUCGAGGCUCAACCUCGAGACGCCGAUGGAAACCACCUGGCUAGAGUCCGGAAGAGGAGAGUGGAAUUCCUGGUGUAGCGGUGAAAUGCGCGGAUAUCAGGAAGAACACCCGUGGCUAAGGCGGCUCUCUAGUACGGUACUGACGCUGAGACGCGAAAGCGUGGGGAGCGAACAGG